rnacentral:rRNA from 1 species
UGGCGGACGGGUGAGUAACGCGUGGGUAACCUGCCUCAUACAGGGGGAUAACAGUUAGAAAUGACUGCUAAUACCGCAUAAGCGCACGGUUUCGCAUGGAACAGUGUGAAAAACUCCGGUGGUAUGGGAUGGACCCGCGUCUGAUUAGCUGGUUGGCGGGGUAACGGCCCACCAAGGCGACGAUCAGUAGCCGGCCUGAGAGGGUGAACGGCCACAUUGGGACUGAGACACGGCCCAAACUCCUACGGAAGGCAGCAG